rnacentral:rRNA from 1 species
AUUGAACGCUGGCGGCAUGCCUUACACAUGCAAGUCGAACGGUAACAGGUCUUCGGAUGCUGACGAGUGGCGAACGGGUGAGUAAUACAUCGGAGCGUGCCUAGUAGUGGGGGAUAACUACUCGAAAGAGUGGCUAAUACCGCAUGAGAUCUACGGAUGAAAGCAGGGGAUCGCAAGACCUUGUGCUACUAGAGCGGCCGAUGGCAGAUUAGGUAGUUGGUGGGAUAAAAGCUUACCAAGCCGACGAUCUGUAGCUGGUGUGAGAGGACGAUCAGCCACACUGGGAGUGAGACACGGCCCAGACUCAUACGGGAGGAAGCAGUGGGGAAUUUUGGACAAUGGGGGAAAGCCUGAUCCAGCAAUGCCGCGUGCAGGAUGAAGGCCUUCGGGUUGUAAACUGCUUUUGUACGGAACGAAAAGCCCCGGGUUAAUACCCUGGGGUCAUGACGGUACCGUAAGAAUAAGCACCGGCUAACUACGUGCCAGCCGCCGCGGUAA